AUUGCUUUUCAGCCUUUUGGCUAAGAUCAUGUGUAUUAUCUGUUCUUAUCAGUUAUUCCUUGGACGGGUAAUAGAGCUUUGCUAAUGUCACUCUGCCUUUUGCUCAAAGGCAGGGAAUGACUCUCUCCUGAAACCUCAGCACACAUGGAAUCUCGAGGGCAUAACCA
rnacentral:snRNA from 1 species